GGUUGUACCAGAUCAGAAUGAAGAACUUCUAGCCAUGUGGGUGACCACAGCAACCUCUUCCGAAAACAUCCUGCAGAGGGGUGUGUCUGGGAGGAGCUUCAAGGGCCAUGGGGAAGGGGAAGGAAGAGGAGGGCCAGAGCUAGCCUGUGAGACACAGGGCUUUUCUCCGCAGAUCUGAAGAGGCAGUCAGGACUAAAAAAUCCUGUUGGGUCUCCUCCAAGACGUCUGGUCCUCUGGGGGUGUUGGCUUCACAGGGAGCUCACUGGCCAGAGGACUUAGGGAGCGGGGCAGCUGUGGCCGAAUCAAGAGCCUCCCCUGUGCAGAAAAACAAGCACUCCGCUCUCCAUUCUUCUGCCAGAGACAACCAUAUCCUCCUCGCACACCCCACAGGCUCCAUGGAGACCUCAGGUCAGUGUGUGUGUUGUAGGGGGGGUUCCUAGCAAGCCUGGCUGCUCCUACAGCUAUGAGACCCCAAUUCAGCUGCUUGAGAGUGAGGACAUCUUAAGAGAUGAACAUCCAUACUAGGUAAGAUCCCAAGUGCUUGCAGGUCGCUGAACUAGACAAUGGGAAAAAUGACAAGAACAGCCAAGGUCAAGGUUUAUCACCAAACUCUCAUGAUUGAACAAGGAAUUAUAAAGCUCUUACCAUGUAUCAAGGUGAGAUAAAACCACUCAACAAACAUCAACUCAUUUGGUCUUCAUAACAAUCCCUAAGCUAGAUGUUAUUAUUACUGUCACUGUCAAAGAAGGGGAAACUGAGACAUGUAUUUUUGGGAAAGACAUCUUCUUUACUCAGUCUAUUAAUUUAAAUUUAAAUACAUCCAAAAAUACCCUCACAGAAACACCAAGUACAUUGUUCAACCAAGUAUCUAGGCACUCUGUGGCACAAGUUGACACAUAAAUUUCACCAUCACAAGUGGGUAUCAGGUACCUUCAAGAAGAUAAAGACUGGUCUGCCUGUAAAAAAAAAAAAUGCUUUGAAGGUUUUAUUCAUGACAGAGCUGACCCCCUAGAGAACUGGGCUCUGCUGUCUACCACUCAGCUCCAAGGGUUACAUUUAUGAACAAGGGAUAAACCUACUGCAAAAUAAGGUAACAAAGCUUGACUUUCUCCAAUUUGCAUUCUUUUGAAGCUCCUCCCACCAUCAGGACAGCCAGGAGCAUUGCCAUCCUGACACUGUGACCUUCCUCCUUGAUUCAGAUAAUUGUCCUCUGUGAGCCCUGGGCAUCUUCUCACUUGAACUUCUUCUUAUCUAGUAGAUCAAUGACAUGGAACUCAAGGUGACCAUUUACAACACUGCUUCUUACUCCAGCUGCAUAGCAGAAGCCGGGAGGCUAUAAAAAAAAAUUCAGUGACUUGGCCCCAGCCUCAGAGAGCUGAGUUAAUUGGGGGAGGGGCUGUGUAGUAGUAGAAAUUUAAGAGCUUUCCAAGUGGCUGUAAU
rnacentral:lncRNA from 1 species